UACGUAGGGGGCAAGCGUUGUCCGGAAUCAUUGGGCGUAAAGAGCGCGUAGGCGGUCCGGUAAGUCCGCUCUGAAAGUCCGGGGCUCAACCCCGGGAGGCGGGCGGAUACUGUCGGGCUAGAGUCCGGAAGAGGCGAGUGGAAUUCCUGGUGUAGCGGUGAAAUGCGCAGAUAUCAGGAGGAACACCAAUGGCGAAGGCAGCUCGCUGGGACGUGACUGACGAUGAGACGCGAAAGCGUGGGGAGCAAACAGG
rnacentral:rRNA from 1 species